rnacentral:rRNA from 1 species
AUUGAACGCUGGCGGCAUGCUUUACACAUGCAAGUCGAACGGUAACAGGGUGCUUGCACCGCUGACGAGUGGCGAACGGGUGAGUAAUGCGUCGGAACGUGCCGAGUAGUGGGGGAUAACGCAGCGAAAGUUGUGCUAAUACCGCAUACGUACUGAGGUAGAAAGUGGGGGACCUUCGGGCCUCACGCUAUUCGAGCGGCCGACGUCUGAUUAGCUAGUAGGUGAGGUAAAGGCUCACCUAGGCGACGAUCAGUAGCGGGUCUGAGAGGAUGAUCCGCCAAACUGGGAAUGAGACACGGCCCGGACUCCUACGGGAGGCAGCAGUGGGGAAUUUUGGACAAUGGGCGAAAGCCUGAUUCAGCCAUGCCGCGUGUCUGAAGAAGGCCUUCGGGUUGUAAAGGACUUUUGUCAGGGAGGAAAUCCCUAGCGUUAAUACCGCUGGGGGAUGACAGUACCUGAAGAAUAAGCACCGGCUAACUACGUGCCAGCCGCCGCCGUAAUAC